UACGUAGGGGGCAAGCGUUGUCCGGAUUUAUUGGGCGUAAAGAGCGUGUAGGCGGCCAGAUAGGUCCGUUGUGAAAACUCGAGGCUCAACCUCGAGACGCCGAUGGAAACCAUUUGGCUAGAGUCCGGAAGAGGAGAGUGGAAUUCCUGGUGUAGCGGUGAAAUGCGCAGAUAUCAGGAGGAACACCGGUGGCGAAGGCGGAUCUCUGGGCCUUACCUGACGCUCAGGCGCGAAAGCUAGGGGAGCGAACAGG
rnacentral:rRNA from 1 species